CCGUGACCUCCCCCCGGCCGGGGGAGCCGUGGCCCACCGCUCUGUGCCCUCCUGGGGGCCGCCCCGCACCCACAGCCCGCUGAGCUGGGAGGGGAGCAGAGGGUUUGGGAUUUUUUUUUCCUAUCUGUGUGGAUUAUUAUUGUUAUUAUUUGUGGGCUGACAGGGGUUAUUCCACCUUCUUCCUCCUUUCUCCCUGCUCUGCCCCCCAUUUUGCAUAACUCUCCUGCUGUCCCUUCCUCCCUGCACUUUGCCCUUGCCUGGUGGUCUGUAGCAUGAUGGAGUAAAAUUGCAAGGGACUCUUCUUUUUUCUUGUUUGUGUAGUGAGAGAGCUGUAUCACAGACAAGCAGACUGCCUAAUGUUAUAUAUUCUUAUAUACCUAUAUCCUUUUCUUUUUUCCCCACAGUGCUGGAGUGGGGUUCUGUGCUUUACAUGCCCCAGGGCAUGGCUCAAUCUAGCAAACCCUGGAGUGAAGCUGCUUUCAGCGUGUGGAGACUGAGUGCCACCGACAGCCUGUUGUCUGUUCGUGCUCAGAGAGUUAUGUGGAAGGAUAGGAGUGACUCAGUAAUAGGAAGUAUUAGUUGCACUGAGGCAAAACCAGGUGAAGUUAUUACUUGGUUACUCUGUUACCUUGGGUCAUUGUUUUGCAUCAGUCCACUGUUUGCUUAUGAAUCAGAAAUAGUAGUGCUUUCCAAAAACAUACUGUGAAUAAACACUAAUGAGCUCAAAAUGCUUAUCAGCUGUAGUAAUAACAGGUAGAUGUGUUGUUUCUCUAUAGUGGCAUAGACAGUGCAGCCAGGAUUGUUUUGCUUGCAAGCUCUUCCUGUGGCAGUAACUUUGCACAGAAGUAGACUUUUGCUUCAAAAGACAUUUUAUAACUCAUGAUACUGUGUGAUAUGCAAUGUUAGAAUCAUAGAAUCAUGGAAUGACUUAGGUUGGAAGGGACUUUAAGGGUUAUUGAAUUUCAACCCCCUCCUGCGGGCUGUGUUAAGUCAUAUUUCGUAUUUUUAUGCAGAAAGUUCUCUAAUACGCUUUUAAAUAACCGCCAUUCCACAGUGCAAAUAGUUUGGGGUUUUUUCUCCUGUGUUCUUAAAACAGCACCAGUACUGCUAAGGAAGCAGUGUCUGGUUGUCUCUGGGCGAGGUGAUAGACUGAGGCUUUUGAUAUGGAGUUGGAAGAGAGAAGUUCCAGUAUAUCUGCUCACAUCUUGGCGUGAUCAAGAAAUUACUUGGAACUGGUUUGUAACUCACUGUGCCACCACACAGCUAUACUUGCCAGGGUUGAGUAGUAGUGUUUACGAGGUGCUGUCUGGAGAUGCCUCUGUAUUUGCAAGAAAAUACUGAAGCAGGUGACAGUAAGUUCAUUACAACGAGCUGAGCAGUUUAGGAAACAGCAUUUUUAUUCUCACAUUAUAAGGUGAUCUACAUAGAAAAUCAAAUGCCUUAAGUAUGCCACUGGCAAGCACUUCAAUAGAGGAAUCUGAAAACUCCAUAGGAGUUGCCCGGAGUGGUUUGUGCCGCUCUCAAGAGCAGUGCUGCCACCACCAUAGCAGGUGAGCUGGAGCUGCUGCUCUCAGGAGUCCUGAGCAGAGUUGGCUGAGUUUUCCUCUGCACUUUUGCUUUAUGCAAAUCAGAGCAGGUAGCUCGCUUGUCUGGUGUUCUUUGAGUUUGUUUUUGUUUAUUUUUUUGUUUUUCUGAUCUAUUCUAGAAAGAUACACCACAAAGAAGCACCAACUGCCUGGUAUCUUUAAGCUUUGCUUCUGAGAGUAUUUUGUUCUGUAGUUUAUCACUUGCCUGCUCAAGUUUGUUUGGAACUUCCAUACUGCUAAAUAGGACAACUGUUCUGUGUGAGGAGGAGGUGAGCACAACAGAAGACUUUUGUCUUCGGUUUUAACAACAAAACUGAAAGUUGCUCUGGCAAAAUGGCAAUUCAUUGUUAAUUCAUGAGAUGUAGGUGCUCUGGAAAAAUCAAAUACCAGUUUCAUAGCUACCCUUAGGCAUCUCUAAUUUAUGCAAGCAGGGCUUGCCAAGUAACUACUGAGUCUCACUGACCUUAGUAGGUUUGCAGAGGUCAUAUUUUAACACAGAUAAGUUAUGCUUGAACUAUUUUCUCAGUAGGUAUUAGGAGCAAGUGGCAAAAAAACAUGCUUUUUGCCAAUCCUCCGUUACAUUUUCUGUUUUUCUUUAGAUUCUUGCUUGUAAGUUCUACAGUAAAUCCUAGAGUCUUUUUUUGUGUUUUUUCUUAAUCUGUUAUCUUAAGUAAGAAACGUGAGUUUUUGAGGACAGCUUCUUUUUUGGGGUCUCAGUAAAACAGAACAAACAAAGGUUUCAUAGACCGCCAGAAAGGCAGUUGUAGGAUCAGGGAAAGUCGGGGUAUGGGAAGCCAGAACAGCCCAAACGUGUGAGUGACAUCAGCAUUUUUCUGAGCCGUUUAUGCUGCUCACUUCUGUCGGUUCCCAGCAGUGCCUGUGUCUUAUGUAAGCUCGCACUGUACAUCCUGUCCUGCUGUUCUCAUGCAUGAAAAUCAUUGGUGUUAUCUUACUGUACGUUUUGAGAGCUGAGCAGUUACUGGCUACUUGUUGUCUCAAAUGUCUGCAUGCAAAUCUCUCACAAGCAUGCUGGAGAGAGCUAUGCCAAGAGCAUGGUGCUGUCCUCCUAGGAGACAUCAGAGGGGUAAGUUGUAGUAAACGCCGCUCGCUCGUCCUUUGCUCUUUCUGGUAAUAGGCACUAUGAAGUAAUGCAGCUACAGAGGUAAUUGUGCUGCUACAGUCUGAAGUGCUGAUCUGUGUCACGUGCAGAUGGACCACUAAUGCAGUUUCGAUGGCUGGUGAUAAAACAGACAUGGAAAACAAAGGACAGUGGUUUCAACAGAAGCUUUAAUGAUGUUAGGACUGGAAAAGAGAGGCUUUUAUAUACUCUUACUGUGCACUGCUUGUUACGGGUCUUGGAAAGAAACUGUGCCUUCAGAUGGACUGAUGCUUUACCCUUGUUCCUGUAGUUAGCAUUUAGUGAUGCAUAAUGAAGGUACUGUCACUCAAUGGGUGAAAUUGGAGCAAACCUUCCAUUACAAGGCUUCAGAAACAAACAUUCCCUCUAUUUUUUUUUUCUUGCUAAAUCUAUCUGAAAUCGUCAGGCAUAAAAUCCUGCAAGUAAUGUGAUAUCUGUUAAUGCAAAGUAAGUAACUUGGCCACCUUGUUUAAACGCUACCCAGUGCUUCAGUUACGAAGCAAAACUACCUCUGCUUCUUAAAUACUCUUGUCUCUUCUGUUUGUGCUCCUGCAGUAUGAAGGAGACAAGUUUCUGCUCCUCUGCUCUGGUGAAUGCGCUUGUGUGGCACUGUGGCUUGUUUUGGGGGAGCUGUGUUUGAAGGGCUGUAGAGUUUGUUACAAGCUCUGAUAGGAAAGGCUGACUGGCAGGAGAAGUGCACCUGGGUAGGAGUGCGUUUGUGGAAAGGCCUUGGAAGGAAUGAAAGAAUCUUUCUUGUGGCUUCCCAGUGUGAUCCGUUCCAUGCCGCACGAAACAAUUCCUCAUUGUGCUGGAGUGUAAGACUUAACAAGGAAACUGGCCAUCUGAAGAGGAACAGGUGCAAUGCCCUGACGCUUAGAAGCUAACCAGAUUCCUGAGUGAGCAGAUCUUGCAGAAUUUAAGGAAACUUAUUGGCAGAACAUCUAAGAAGGACUUGAAUUUUUGUUUUGAGUAGGGAAUUGAAUGAUCUCUGCUGCCUUUCACACAAAUCUAGGAAUGCAGUGGCUCUAUUUAGUGCUUUUGUUAUUUUCUUGAAGAUAUAGAAAUAUGUUUCAAAAGCAUAUGCAGGAAGAUGGAGUUGCAGCAGCCAUAAGAACUUGUAAGAAAGCACCUGCACGUUGUGCAUUUGGGAUUCCGUGGCAUUAUAUUUUAUUGCUUUACGGAUGCUUACGUGACUAUCAGAAUCCACAUCUAUGUUGUCCAUAUUCAAUAGCCUUUUCAUUUUGUUGAUGUGGACAGAAUCUAUUCAGGAUGCUUAAAUCUGCUAAAAUAUUUAUAAGAAAGUUGGCCCUUGGAGCAUGUUUCCCACAGGAUGCAGUGGGUGUCGGGGCUAAAGGUCAGUGCAGACGAAGUAAAGUGAAAGCUCUUUUGCAUUUAUUUUCCUACUUUUUUUUCUUAAUUUUCUUUUGAAAGAGAAUUCUCUGUGUUAAGAAGCACAGAACUUUCCUUUGCUACUUCCUACGUUUCCAUACACUAAGAAGCAGGAAUGGACCUGUAAAUACUUAAGCCUUUUAUUGAAACUUUGCUCCCUUUCUUUAGGAGAGCGGGGAAAAAAAAUGAAACCAACAACCCCAAAUCAGUGCAGUUAAUGUAGUCAUGGGCUCUGAGCAUGGAAGUUCCCGGUGUAAAGGAAAAAAGCCAGAUGGAGUUUUAAGUGACUGUCAUGUACCACUUAAGAAACGCACAUUCCUGAUACUAAUAAAAGGGCCAGAUUGGAGCUACAUAAUUAAUCCCAGUGUCCUUUUCAGCACAUGAUAAGAUUUGGCUACAGCAGUCAUAGAGCUAAUGGAGACAACUGUCAGGUUCUACAAAGCAGUGGAUUGUUUGCCUAAAAUAAAAAUACCUAUGUGAUUAUUCUUGUACAUAUAUUUGUAUCUGCUGGUGAUUAGUACUUAUGUCCCAGUUCAAAUGGAAGAUAAAUGGAGCUGAUUUGCUUUUGAAUCCCCUUACUGCCUUAAGUAUCUGUAUAAAUAUAUACACCAGAUAUGUCUGUAAAUAAAUUAUUCCUAUUCAAUAUAUAUUUAAGAUGGGAAGUAAAUGUUUUUUAUUAUUUUCUUUAGGAGUUAGGUGGCAAAACUUGCUCUCCUUUGGAGUCCAUUUGAAAUAUAGUGACUGAUGAAGGCCAAGGAGCAAUUCUGCAAUUGUUUAUUCACUGUAUGUGUCCAUGACCUGGAAGAAGCGUGCAGGAAUGGGCUAAAGCAGAGAUGCUUCUGAGAUGGCACAAAGUGUGUGUUGGAGGCAGACAGGAGGAGUGGGCAGAUGGCAGUCAGAACAAAACAGGGAGUUCAAUAACUUGGGACAGCACUGAGCUGCUCUAUCUGGAGAACACCCUUCUAACCAUAAAGGGGAGCUGCUCUGUCUAAGAUUGAGUGUAAGACAUAAAUGAUCCUCCAAAGAAGCUUUUCUCAAAAAAAAAAAGAGCUUAUUUUCUGAAGACAACUUUGUCACUUGAACUAGAGAUGCUUCUUACCUUGACUGAAAAGGCAGACUAUGGGCACAAACUGGAAGACUCCUCAAGGUAAAACAGGAACAUGUCAUGUGGAGAUACCUGUAUCCUAUUUAAAAUGAUUUGUUUUAAUACUUUGUAGUAAAGUGUCUCCAGGACUCUACCCAUAGAUUAGCCAACCUGGUUUUGGUGCAGCUUUUUCCAGGGAAUAAGACUAAAAUUCCUUUCCUGUAGGAGAAACCAAAUUAGAGUUGAAUAGAGGAAGCUAUAAAAUCAGACCUAUUUACUGCAGGCAGCAAUAUUUGAGUUAAAUGUUAAACUCACUGAAUUAGUGUAAUCAACAUUUGACACCUCAGAAGAGGUAAUACUACUGUGGGAAUGAGGAAGGGCAUCAGCUAUUUGUGUGAUAUCAGACCUAAUAUGUAGCAUGUAUUCAUAUUUCUCCUUAAUUUGGAGAUCCAGGUAUUCAUCUUUCUCUUGUGGUCAGUGCAUGUUGCUGUAUCUCCUCUGCUGAAAAAGCAAAAAUUGCAGGGAAAAAAAAAUUCCAAAAAUAUAUGGCUAUACAUUAUACAGCAACAAUCUGUUAGAAGCCUAUUCUCAGAGAAGGCAAAAAUAUAGCUAAGGAUGCUAAUACUCUUCCUUCCUUUUUCUGUUCUGAUUGCAGGUAAGUCUACUGGUGGGGGUUUUUAUGAGGUGAGGGUAAUACAUUAUGACAAAUUGUUAGUGACAGAUGGAUUUUUUUUACUUAGCUUACUUCUAAAGCAAAAUGAUCUGGAUUAGCCACUUCCUGCCCCCCGAGGUGGCUGCACAACUUCUCAGGUUACCUAAAUUAAAGACUUAAUUUGACUCAGUAAGUUACUCUAUCAGGUUGAGAGCCAAGAAGGUGUUUUAUAAAUACAUGAUUUCUGCAUGCUGAGCAGUGUUGUUCAGUCAGAGGGAAGAGGAGAAUGGGGGGGGGGAGUCUUUAAUUGCUGCCUUCAGUUACCUAAUGGAUCAUGACAAGAAACCAGCUCUUUCUUGGUGUUGUGCAGCAAAAGGGUGAGAAGCACUGGGCACAAGAUGCAGCAAAGGAAAUUCCAGAUAGGUGUAAGGCAGAAGAAAAAAGUUAGACCUGUAGCUACACAGACGUGACUAGAUUGCUUGUAGAAGCUAUGAAAUAUCUUUGCUUGGGGAUGCUCAGAUUUUGAGCAGGGAGUUUGCUGUAGGUGAUUUCCAGAGAGCCUUCCAGAGGUCAUUUCCACUGUAAGAUGUUUUUGGUUUCCAUUUGGUGAUUAGUUCACGACUUUUCUUCACCGAGAAGGCUUAUCGUUCUGAGCUGUCUUUCUGAUCUUCGAUGGUAAUCACUUUUCAUGUCUCAUUUGUUAAAAUUAUGCUCACUAGAGUCAGAAAUGGUGUCUGUGGAGACAGUGCUUUUGUAAAGCAUGUAUUAACUGAAAGGUUCUGACUGCAUGUCUGUUUUACUGUAUUUGUCCAAGUAAAGACUUCCAAAAGUGAAACCAGCUUUGAAGGUUCUCUUACAGUGCUGUUUUUGGUGCUGUUUUUUCAACUUCAGUUAAUUUUAUGUAUUUACAGUUCACAGGACUAAUACUCAGCAGAAUAUUUUGGAGCAGAGUGAGCUAAGAAGUUGAAGACAGGUUGUAUUCUCUUUAAGAGAAAAAUUCUAGGGUGUGAACUUUGAUGCAGAUGUGCAACUUAAUGGUGUAUUCAAUUUCUGCCUACUGUUCCUUUGUUUUAAACUGCUUAUUUAAAAGCAUAAGAACACCCCUUCCUCUUUCUGUGUUUGACCCCCAGCAUUCUGCAUGCUCAGUAUACUCCAGCUAAUACUGAGAUUAUUUGGAUUGCAGGUGAAUGUCUGCUUUUUCAUGGGCUUUGGAGAAGGACAGUGAGCAGCCUUUGUAGUUGCUACUCCUGUAUAUUUUUGGGAAAUAAUGCAAGAAAUGAAUAGGGGCCAGUUUUGUCUUGCAUGCUGUGUCUGUUCUUGAGUUUGUUAGAUUGUAGUCAUUCUCUCUGAUGCAGUUCUAGAUUGAUGGUCAAUUAUUUUUACCUCGUAAACCUCCAUUCUUUGAAACGAGUGAAUCAUGGGCCAGAGUGUGUAGGACAGCUUUUUUCUUAUGCUUAGUCACAGGAGACUAAGCUUACAGUUUUAUUCUAACUUAGCUCCCCAAGAUAUGCAGAGCAACUGGGUGGAUGCUGUUCUUAAUUAUGAUCUGAACUUUAUUUUGGCUCGCACCAUCACUGUUUCAUUGUUUAUCUUCCUUUGGUAAGAUGAGAACAGUAUCUUAUGACAAAAACAUUUAGUUGUUUGGUUUUCUGUAAUGGUUAUGUAUGACAUUUGCAUCCUCACUGAAAUUUGGGCUUAGAUAUGUUAAUAGUGUACUGUUUUACACAUUCCCAUGCAUUCUUAAAAUAUGAGAUGCUUUUUUUGACAGCUCAAUUUAAAACUUUUUACUUCCUACACAGUGAAACUGUCAGUUUUAGUGUUUGCACAUAUGUAUAUAUUUAGUGUAUCCUUCUAGUAUUUGAAGAGAGCUUCUAAGCAGGAAGGGGAGUGACUUUUUACAUGGUCUGAUAGUGAUAGCUCAAGGGAGAAUGGCUUUAAACUAAAGGAGCGGAGAUUUAGGUUAGAUGUUGUGGAAAAAAAAUCCUUUCUCAGAGGAUGGUGAGGCACAGGAGCAGGAUGCCCACAGACAUUGUGGCUGCCCCAUCCUGGUGGUGUUCAAGGCUGAGUUGGAUGGGGCCCUGGGCAGCUUGAUCCAGUGAGUGGCAACCGUACGCGUGGCACAGAGUUGGAGCUUGGUUAUCUUUAAGGUUCCUUCCAAUGUAAGCCAUUCUGUGAUUAGUGAUUGUAAGAAGCAGAGCGUGUGGUUUCCUGAAAAUAUACAGGAAAUGCAGUUCUAAAACUACUUACAUAUGCUUCCUACUUCAUAAUUCAUUGUGCACUGUAAACUUCUAAUGCUAUAGCGAACUCUGUGGCUGUUAAAUGAUCAGACUGCCCUAUGUUAGGGCAGAUUGUAAUCUAUCUGAAUCACUGCGUGACAUUUAUGCUGUUGAAAUUGAAUUGGACUAUGUGAGAGCUGAAAGCUAUGGCACUUUAAAUUCAGCACUGAUUCAGACACUGUGUUUUACUCGGGGCAAAUAACUUAAUGUCUAAUACUCAGUUAUGUUCUGGUCAGUAGACGUGACUUAAAAUAAUUGGAGCAAUAGCAGGGAUCUGCUUUAACUUUCUUUUUCAGUUAGCUAUUUGUGCAUGAGAACUGAGACUUCUAAUUCACUGAGUAAUUGUAAUCAUGCUGAUCAUGGAAUGAGGAUAUCUUAAGAUAUGGGAAGAAAAUAAGCUCUGUGGGAAAUACAUAAGCUCUCUUUAGCUUCCUUGUUCCCCUGCAUCUUCCUUUCCCUUAUUGCUUUCCUUCUUCCCAUCUUGUUUAACUUUCUGAUCACAGUGCAGUCCAAGCUCAGUGUGACUGAUAAAAUAAUAUGUGGCACUUGGGAAAACUGCAGUACCUCUCUGUGACCUGUGUGGCUUGGGUUUGGAAACUGAAAGAGCACAAACUUCAGGUAUCACAGCAGUGCCCUUUUUGUUGGUGUUAAACCUCUUGGUGAAUCCCUUGUACUGACAGCUUAAGAGCCAGAUUGGUAAAUGUUGUGUGUCAGGAACAGUUUAUGUAGUUUAAAGAUUCACAUGGUUCUUCACAUUUUCUGUAUGAGGAAUUUGAAGGGGAAUUCACACUGCAAGAAAUGCUACAUUCAUUGUUGUUCUUCAGCAAAUACAGUUAACAGCAUUAAUGGAAGCCAGCAAUCAAUGUCCUUCUGUUUGCAGUGACGUUAGAAUAAGUCCUGGUUCUGUGCUUUUAAGCUUUAGCAGGGUUAGAGGACAGAACCUUUGACAAAAGCCGGAGUGUGGUGUCUUUUUGUAUUUGUUUGUAAGUGUUCAGGAGAAUAGCAGAAGAUGCUUAAUCUUCAGUUUUCAUAGAAGAACUUUUAUGGAAGUUCUAUCCUUCAAAAGCGUAGUUGCACGGAACUACACUGCAGAUAUAUUUUCUUAAUGUUUUUGGAUGGAGCUGAAAAUGUAACUCCUUUGUACAAACAUGAUCACACUGUUAGAUGUUGUGCUGGGGUUGGUAGCUGACAGUUUGAUAAAACAGCAAGAGACUUCACUGUCAUUUGUAUUGUUUUUUUUGUGAUGAUCUGAGUGUUAAAAUGAAGCUGGAGGGAGUGUCCUCUCUUUAGGCAGGUGACAUUGUGGUAACCUUCAUUACUUCCUUAAGAAGCAAGUGUUGAAGGAGAGCAGCACAAGAAAUGGUUCACUGCAGCAUAAUGCUUAGCAGCCUAAUUAGUCGAAUACCAUGUGCCUACCUCUGCAUGAAAUAACCCAUUUCUUCACAAGGUAAAAUAGGAAUUUUCAGUUUUGGAACAGCCUGAAGAGGCCUUUGUUGCAAAUGUCCGUUGGCUUUUUAACUAUUUAUUCUCAAAUAAUGAAGGUCAGCAUGGUAUCCAUAGAGACUGCAUGCAGCUUCCUCGUUAAUCUUGGCAAACUCCUGUAAUAACUACAUUCACUUAAUACUAACAAGUGUUCACAUUUCAUUAAUGGGAGAACAGUAUGGGAUUGACAUUCUGUAACUGAGAAAUCUUGAAUGUGUAGUUUUUCUUCUUUAAACUCUGUUAGAAUUUCCCUUUACGAGUUGCCUUGGAGGCCUGAACAGCCUCAGAACAAGCAACUUUUAAAUUGCAGGAGUCUGCGUAUUUCCUGGAAGCAGAAAACUUCUUACUGGCUAAGCCUUUUCUUUCUGAAAGGAUCAAGAAUGAUAAACAAGGAUAAAUGGGUCUGCUUUCAGCUCUGUUAGUAAAAGGAAAGUUUUCUGCUAUGAACUAGAAUAUAAAGGCAUUGAAGUAUUAUGUAAAUAUGAUCAAGCUAGAAUGAUAAGAUUUAAAAAAAUAACCUCAUGCAGACUCUCCACCUCUGCUUUUUUUCUUCCUUUUUCUUUAACCAAGAAUGGGAGAAUUUUUGUAUCACCAGAACACUGCUGAAGUCCUUUGUAUUUGACUGUCAGAUUACUUCUGUGCAGAAAAUUCUAAUCAGAGUGUUAAUAUGAAAUAACUGAGUGCUGUAUGCUUAAUAAUGACUUUGAUUUAAAUUAAAUUUUGUUCUUGAAUAGUAUUUUGUCAUUUAAAUACUUUUAAUAUUGAAAGGGUUCUUUUAACUGAGAAGAAAGAAAUAGACUGCAUCAGAACAGAAUGCAGUCUUGUGGGACUUCUGGUACUGAGUUGCUGAAGGGGGGGAAGUAAAAUGGUUCCAUCCAGAGGCUGUUAUUGUUUUAUUCCCACCCUGACACUUUUAAUGCUUACCCCAGGAUAUAUAUAUAUAGAGAGAGAGAGUAACAGAGCCUUAAACUGAUGCUGAGAAAUAUACAUAUUUUUUCAGAAUUCUGCCAGGUUUAUUUCUAAGAUUUCCUUCAUUAUGAGCUUGUUUUCCUAAAUUAUACAUUCUUAUUUAGAAACAUAAGUAACUGUGAAAGAGUAGAUAGUGUGGAUGCUUAGAAUGGAACUCCAUUUAUUUUUUUUGAGAGUUCUGGUAAUGAAGGUAUAGGAAAGUAAAAUGUAUGUAUGAAUGUAUUUGAACCUGAAGAGGUUUAAAAAUGUGCAUUUUAAAACUUGAGUACGUAUAUUCCCAUGUCUUGCAUUUAGAAACAUUAAAUUAUGUUAAAUCUACAAUUGUGGUGUUUUUGUAUCAAUGCUUGUUUUAAGUGAAACUGAAAAUGAGAUUUUCUUCAGAAUUAGUGGAAUGGUAAUUGAUUGGAAUGUCACAGAAAUGUCAUAAAUCUUUUUCUUUUCCCCCUCCCCUAAAGGUGACCGACUACUUUGUACUGCUGGACACCUGCAGUGAUGUAUAGUAGUCUGUUGCUGUAAACAUCCCCGACUGGAAGCUGUAGCAGCUCGAGCUUUCAGUCAGAUGUUUGCUGCACCUGGCUAUACCUGGACAGCAUCAGGAGGAAAAGAUGUCAUAAACCUGUAUGCAUAGAUACAUAUCUAGUAGUUUCUGUAGACACGCUGAACUGCCUCCAAGUGAGUUAACUUGAUUUUUAUUAAUAUUGCUGGUAUGAUUGAUUACAAGCUAAUCUGUAACAGGCAGGAAAUACAGAGGUAUUGCAUAUAUGUCACUCAGAACUGAAUUCUCUGCUGCUCCAUGGUAUGAGCAACAGAACUAUGCCUCUCUGGAAUUUAACAGCAAGAGGUGUUUAAUUUCUUGUACAAAUAUACAUAAACAAAACUCACCUUAUGAACUACCUUUUUUAAUGGCAUCUGCUACUUACUGAUCUGUAGAAAAAUGAUUAAUAUUGUUGAAUACUUAGCAAAUAUUUUAUUUGCUGUGCCUUGUUUUUGCUUUCUGAAAUUCCAUGUUCUGCCUCUCCUAUGAGUGGGUGGUGCUCUUAUUGUUUGUAAGCUGGAUGUAACCCAAGGCCACAAUAAAGGUUAAAAAAAAAUUGCACAGGAUGUAUGUUUGUAGUAAAACAAUGCCAAAUGUAUACAGUUGUUUGUGGUACAGUCAUCUUGUUUUGUACUACCAUUAACAAAGAUUAUUUUUCACAUAAAGAACAGUUUUUGAAAGUCCUUCUUCAGAGUUCUCUUCACUAAUUCUUGACUUAAAGUAAUCGGUUCAUUGAGAACAGCACUCAGCAACACAACUUCAGUACUUUCCACUUUUCUCAGUGAGGGAUCUAGGAAGUGUGUUCUGCUGAUGUAAUUUCCUGGACCUUGUCUGGGACUUUUCUUCUCUUUCUCUAUAGUUCUUUAUUUGUAAAGGAUGGGAGCAGAAUAGCCUAAAUGAGUGCUUACUACUCCAACAACAGCAGAAUUCAUUCCUGCACUACCUUAGCUUUCCAGUCUUCCACCUCUGAAAAUGUUAGUUUCAUAUUCUUUGACAUUCAGCAGGCAAAUUUUAUGUUCAGUUUAUUUGAGAGUAUGUUAAUAUAGAUUAAAAGGGUUAACAAGAUCUAACUUUGCUAUAGGAAUUCUGUAGACUGUAUGCAAAGAUACAAAUACUUUAAAAAAAUAAAAUUUCUGGUUUCUUAAAACUAUGAGGAUUCCUUGGGCCUGGAAAGGAUAGACUACAAGUAGUGCAGAGGCAGUGAUUCUCAAGCAUGUCAUGAACGGCCACCUGUGAACUGAGGGGAACCAUUCUUCUGGGGCAGUCGUGUGACUUUAAAUACAGAGCUGCUGUGAUGUGGUUCACCUGUCUGCUGGCACAGCAGUGCGUGGUGAUCGAAGGUUCUGAACUUACUGAUAGCACUACUGCAAUUAUCUAUUUUUGGAGUAGUUCAUACACAAUACAGUUUCUAUUAAAGAACAUGUCUUAAAUAUGAUGUUUGGCUUGGGUACAUUGUCAAAUUAGAAAGAGAAAUAUAAGCAGCAUUUACAAAUCCUUUUUUUUUUUUUAAAGGAGAACACAAGUGCUAGUCAUUUUUCCAGAUGUUCUUUGCUGGAAAUGCUUGGCAUUCCCUAGUUUUACGUACUACUUGGACUUAGAAGGAAUUAAGUGUUGUCUGUUAACAUUCUUCACUGAAUGAUCAAAGUAAAUGUUAUCUCAUAGUUAAUCUUGUAGUCAUUUUUGUUAGUGCUGUCUUGGCCUUUUCACAAGCUAGAUAAGAGUAGUCAUGUGCAGUUCAUCAGUGCAGUCUUGUGGAAUUUUAUUUAUGUGCUAGUAUCUAAUACAAUCUCAAACACACUAAUACAGUCUCAAACACAGCCAUCAUGCUUCUUUACAUGAAAGCCAACUGCAGUGGUGUGUAACUAUGGGAAAUAAAUAAACCCACGCUGCAUUUUUACAUUGCGUUUUUGUUUGGGAUUUUCUUGUGAAGAGCUUGAAAAGCCAGGAUCUCUGAACGUAUCUCAAACAUUUCUGCGUGCAGAUGAAGUGCAGUCUUUCCAGAUAUUGUGUGUUUACACAAUGAUUUAAGUUGAAUCAUUGAAUUUUAGGAAUGGAAGAGGCAAAUUUGACAUGCCAGCCUAAUCAUCAGCAAAGCUAAUUACGUCAUCUUGUUAACGUGAUGACUGCAACUAUUGCUUAUGAUAGAAGGAGACAUAAAUAAAUUUCUCAUGUUUUAUGGUGCACUCACAUCAUAGUGGAGGCAGAUAGCUAAUGGACGAAGUUGCUAGUCCAGAGGCUGGCAGCAAAGUUGUGAAUGUGCUGCUAAUUCUGGAUAACUGUCAUGCCUAGCACAAGUAGGAAUGGACAUGCAGACGUUUGGAAGUGGAAGCUAGGUGGAAUACCAUGAUCCCUGCUUGCUGAGCAAGUGGAGUGCUUAUGAAGAUGCAUGUUUAGAGUCUGAAUUAGUUGCCUGUGGUUUUUAUGACCACUUAACAGCAACAUGUCAAACUCUUUGGUAACUUCAGGCUGGUUUUCAUGAAGGUCUCCCCUUGCUGUGAACUUGCAGCUGUGUUCUGUAGAAAUGCUUGAGCUCAUGUUUUUUUCUUCAUACAAAGAACCAGCUGUGAAGUGUUCAGAAGGCUUCCACCAGCCUCUGCAUAUGAAGAGAAAUCUGCAUCUGUGGUUCCUUCUCCCCAGUAAAUCUACAAAACACCUGCUCAGACAAGAGCUUUGAGAAGGCUGACAGAGUUUAUAAAGCAUUUUUUCCCGGUUUGCUAAUGUUCUGGUUAUUCAAGGCUUUAGAUGCUAAGUAAGCUGCACAUUUGAAAUCUAAAAUAAGUUUUGAAGCUUAACUGAUAGUGUUCUGUUCUCUCACUAUUAAAAUGACUCAUCAUUCUGAGUAACAAUGUGUGUGGAGAAAACUAAGAAGAUUGAAACAGCAGGGAAAGAACCUUGGAAGCAGUUUUAGAAUGGGAGUUAGUUUAGGAAAACCUAGUAGUGCAGCUAGGAAGACAAGCAAAUGUAACAAUAGAAGCUGUAAAAUUUAGCAUAUAAAGGAAACUGCUGAAAUUUUUGGUACCACAGGAGUUGAAUUUUUGCACAAACCAUUUGAGAAGGACAUCCUUGAGGACUGUUUUCUGGCUUGUACUACCCUAUUGAUGUCCCAUAUAUAUUUUGGUGUUGAGCAUCAAUUCUGAUAAUGAUUUACAUUUGAGGUUUCUAGAAGUGCCUACUCCAAGCAUCAAGAGUCUUGGCAGGUAAGUGCAACAGAGAUAGUGAAUUCCAGCAGCUGUGAGAAUAGUUUUAUUCUGUUUUUCCCUGUUAUCUCUGUAGUAUUAGAAACUGUACAAAUACAUUACCGUGUUCUGAUAUUUAUAAGGUUAAUUGUUAAAAAACAGUGCUCCAACUUUACGUCAGUAAGCUUUAAUAACUGUUGCAAAUGCCUUCUGAGUAGCAUAAGCUGUAGCGCACACAGCGUAUUGAAAUAUGCCUGUGCCGAUUCAUUUUUGGAUAUCUUGAAAGCCAAUGCUGUAUUUAUAUUGUUAAGCUAACUUUUAGUUCCUGUAAACAUCCUACACUCAGCUAUAACAAGUGGUAGGGCUGGGGGGUGGAUGUUUACUUCAACUGACUUGGAAAGGCAGCUUUCCUGAAUGAUCAAGUGACAUUUUGGCAAGAACGGAAUGCUAUAUUUCAGUGGUAUUCAGAUAAGCUUAUUGUAUUGUAAAUACUCUUCUUUCUGUGGAAGUACUGUAUUUCUAUAAAUGUCUUAAUGCAUGAUUAUUGUAAAGCAGUCUUUAACUGCUAAAUUGUGUAUCAUUUUGAUUGCAAAUAAACUGUGAUCCUGUAUCUUUGUCUUGAAAAGUACAUUCUGGUGUCCUCAGCUCACCUAGGAUACACUCUUGAUAAGAAUAUACCCAGAAUCUGUUACUGAGCAUAAAUUGAACAAUUUGCAGCAGCCAUUUCUUAUUUAUGACCAACUUCUUCAGUGUCAGAGGAAGAGUGGAUAUGUUGGACAAUGAUAAGUAAAGACAACAGUAUAAAAUAUUUAAGUGGUAGAACUAUUUAGAUGUAACAAUUCUGUUGGUUUUGGUAUCUAACAAAAUGAGGAAUGUCUUGCUUUGAUUUGGAAAACUUGGAUAGAAGAACAUGGAAGGAGAUGAUCGUUAGCUUUCCAUUUAACUCAUUUUACGUUAUAUCUUACGUGAUAGGAUCCCAUAAGUGGAUGUAUUGUUAAAUGAAAUAGAGCUCCAGCAUUUUGAGAAUAGGAAAUACUAGAUUUAAGUGUUCAAAAAAGAGCUCAGGAGUGGUUUUGUUUAGGCAGAAGAAUGAAGGACAUGGGAUGCAUUGUUGUGAUGUGUAACCUGCUUUUUUGAGGAUCACUUCGAAAAUGCAUUCCUUUAAUAUUAGGCUCCUGAUGCGCGAUGUAUUUCCUACUUAAGGCAAACAGGUGAAAAUUACCAAGAGGAUUUUUAUCUUUUAAGAUGCAGAAGCAUAUUUUUGUUAUAUUAUUUCUUGUGUUUAUUAUGUCUUGCCGUGCUGCUUACUUUUGUUUCCAUGCUGAAGAAGUCUUUUAAUCAGAAGUCCUGGGGAGGUCUAAAAAAAUAAAUGGCACUGCAAUCAAUUGCAUGCAAAAGAAUGCAUCAGAAGUUCUGUAUUUACACAGAACUUCAUAGUGUGAACAGUGCAGUACCAUCACAUAUUACUGUGUAUGUGCAUGCAUGGUUUAAAAACUUUGCUUUUUUGAACUAAUGUCACCUGUUCAGUUGGUGCAGACCUCUGAGUUUUUCAGUUGAAGUGAGCCAGGGAAGCCUUGGGGAAGUGAGUUGUCCUCUUCAGAAGAGAUCCUGUGUUGAAGGGGAAGCUUACCUGCAGAACAGUCUGCAUUUCUUUCUACUUUAUUCUCCAGUUAAGUGCCCCACGGCAUCACUAACUUCACUCCGUUGCUACUGGAGAUGCUUUUUCCACCUGCUCUGGCUGGCAUGACAUGCAGCCAUGCUGAUGUAGCCAUGGCAUCGUGCAGUGGGGUUCGACAGCAAGAAGGAAUCCUCAAAUCAACAUUACCACCAGUCAAAAGGUGCAAAGACUCCUCUCAGCAAGCACCAUUUGUCUGGAAAUAAGAGCUACUGUGGGGGUAGCGAGUAAGCAGUGUGAGCAGACUGGGUGUGGGUGUGUAUGUGGGGUUUCAGUGGGUUUAAAUGCACUUGAGAUGUAAAAUUCAUGUUACAAAUAGGUACAAAACAGUAGUCUGAGUGGUUUUAUCAAAGGAAAAUCUUGACUUUUUGACGUGACUAUUAAAAGAUAGGAGAAAAACGUUAAACGGUGACAUUGGUGAAUGACCUGUUGAAAGUUUAAGAUUUAAGAUACGCUUUUUCAGAGUAUUUUGGAUUUGCAGCACUGUGAAUUCUGUAGUGGUCUGGGAAACAGCUGAAGUGUAGCCGUUCCUUGGAUAAAUGCAUGUUAGACAACAGCAAUACUCUUGCUGAAGGAUUCCAAGCAGGUUGGCUGCCCGUAGGGGAGACAGCCCGCUCUGAAAGAGUGACAGCACCAAUAGUAUGGAAAGAGAGCUCUGAAGGUAAGCCAAACUCACGUGCGUUUGUUCCCUUUUGCUUUGGCUUCAGGAGAGGAUUCAGUAACUGACUGGACGUGUGUGUGCAUCCUUACUUGUACAGCUUUGCUGCAGGUGCUGAUGUGAAAAGUAGCUGUUGGUUAAUGCUCACCAUUCCGGGUUGUGCUAAAGGAAAACAAAAAGUCAGACUUCUAACCUAGAAUAGUUCUAAAGACUCUAAGCAUAGCACCACCAAACUUAAAACUUCUGAAGCACGCUCGUUUUUCAUCCACUGUGUCGGUGAUUUUUGGACAGAUAAGUCACAGUCCCAUGGCCCCCAUGACGGCAUAAAGCAAGGGUGGGUAAACAGCUGGAAAAGGCCACCAUGUGUGUGAUUGAUACGAUGGUCCAGAAGCUCUACUGAGAUAUGGUGGCAAAGGUAAGUCAUGUAGUGUCAGUCAUCAAAUUUGUCUCGAACACAGGCACAGUUGAUGUAUUUUUUUGUUACUUUUGAAAGCAUGCAUUUACUCUUCUGUUUGAUUCUACCUGUUUUCGUUUUCCUGAUGGUAAAAAUCCAAACUUAUAUCAAUAAAAGUAUGUUGAUAUCGAUUUUUCUUGUCUGUUUUGUUCACUAAAGUUGUGCUUCUAGUACUUGUGUACUCCUAAGCAGCCAUGCCAGUUCUGGCCAGCUUCGUUCAUGUUUUAAAGCUUUUCUGUGUGAAGCUAAUAAAAACUACUUAAUAUUGCAUGUGAUCCUAUAAUAGUUGAGUGUCAGCAAUGGGGGAGUCUUAACUCUGAUGUGGGAGUCUGUUCAGACAGUCCGGGAAUGUGUGCUGUCAGCUCCGUCUGUCACCCAUAAUGUGUAUGUUUAAAGGAGGGGAGCCUAUCCCAAGAAAGCAAUGCAUGGGCUCUGCAUGCACCAUGAAGGAAAUGCAGUUUAUGUCAGUUGGGAUCAUUUGUUAUCUGAUAACAUCUCUUUCUUGAGAGAAAUAAUUUCCUGUAAACAAUAUGGCUUUAUCUAAGGCAUCUGCCAGUUUAAUAAUGUGAAAAAUUAUUUUCCCAAACAUUGCACAAGCCUUAUCCCCCUGACAGCAAGAAAGGGAGGUGGCAAGGAUGAAAGAUGCUUUGUGCACUGAACUCUGUCUACUUAAGGUUAUGGAAAACUUGCUGGAAAUGUAUACUUUGAAUGCAUGACUUAGUGUGGUUUUUAAACCCACUUUCCCCAGUACUGACGAACUAGUAGGACUGACUUGUACCAAGGAGUAGAAAAUAUCUAUUUU
ensembl:lncRNA